ensembl:lncRNA
GAUGGAGUUAUGCCAAUGCUAAUUUCAGUAUCUAUUUUUAUAACUUAACUGUAAAUCGUACAGUACAGGCCACACACAUGGGCUGUCACAAAAGAAAAUUAAGGAUUGUCAAAAGGCAGUACUGGAAUCACUGGAAACAAUAAUUGUUUGCCUCAAAAUCUGCCAACCUCCAACCCAACCUCCUCUUAAGAUCUACUACAUGAUCGGCCCUUUUAGCUGAGUCAGAGGCCAUUCACCACUUGGGUCCAUAACGCCCUGUGACAGCUAAAAAGCCUGUAGUCUCCAGGCUGCCAGAAUCCUCUUAUUCAUUGCAUUGGUGUGACCCUGUCUCUCUGCUGAUCUAGCCAUGGCUACAUGGCAAGUAUUAUCAACCAGAGCUUUGCACAACUCAACCAACUGCUGCAGAUGAGUACUUACUAUUAACUUUCAUCCAUUCGCAGUUAAAAAUACAGUGUUUUUAAUGGAGUGGGUUAAAAAAUCUGCUCUGAUCUU